UACGGGGGGACAAGCGUUGUUCGGAAUUACUGGGCGUAAAGGGCUCGUAGGUGGCCAACUAAGUCAGACGUGAAAUCCCUCAGCUUAACUGGGAACUGCGUCUGAUACUGGAUGGCUUGAGUUUGGGAGAGGGACGCGGAAUUCCAGGUGUAGCGGUGAAAUGCGUAGAUAUCUGGAGGAACACCGGUGGCGAAGGCGGCGUCCUGGACCAACACUGACACUGAUGAGCGAAAGCCAGG
rnacentral:rRNA from 1 species